GUCGCUGCCCAGCGCUCCAGUUUUCACCAUCAUCACUCACUGUUGAUAUAACAAGAAGCAGAAAAGGAUGACCACCCUUCAACCCAAAAUGCAGCAGGUAACAGUUUUAUAAAAUGUAUGCCACAGGAUCUGUUAGUUUAGUGCAUCUUAUUGUUUCAAACAUAAAAUGCAAUACAAUAGCUAAGGAAAUUUUAGAAGUAACAUUAUGUUUCCAGUCUCCUAAUCCUAACCCUGUAGCAUUUCAUGUAUCACAACUUACUUACCAGAUGAAUCUAAUUUAUUGGGUAGGCUGCAAAUUGUGUCCUUUAGCUGACACUUCUCUAAAGCCUGCAUAUGAUAUCUUGUAAGUUGUUAAGAAUGUUAUAUUUAACUUCAAACAGUAUAGAGUACUUGCUUUGUUUUUGCACUAACCUGCCAUAUUUCAUCGUCUGAGAAAAGUCCUAGAGGAUCUAAGUUAGUUCGAACACUGCCCCGGAAAAGGGUUGGCUCUUGAGGGAUGAUACUGAGUUUCAUUCUCAAAUCCUUUAAACCCAUACUGCAUAUAUCAAUUUCAUCUAUCAAAAUGUGACCACUAAGAGGUUCUACCAGGCGAAACAAGGCAGUAAUUAGUGUAGUUUUGCCACUUCCCGUUCUUCCCACAACGCCAACUCUAGUCCCUUCCUUAAACGUGCAAGUGAUUCCUUUCAGAACUAAUGGAGCAUUUGGACGAUAUCUUAUCUGACACCAAGAAGAAGAGAAAACCAUUGAGUACGAAAUGUGGAUGAAAUUAAUUAUCAAUAAUAAAAGCUAUCUCUAAAAGAUCAUUUAACUAGUCUUCAGCAUUCCAUAUACCUUCUUUCAGCAUUUGAAAGAAAAUAAAUACCCUUGUUUUGGAGGAAUUGCAUAAUUGUAUGUGAAAACUAUGUUAAUUAAGGUAUUCACCUUUAGUUCUUGCAACUCAAUCCUACCCUUGGAAGGCCAUGAAGGUGGUGGCCUUCUGUCUUCCACAACUGCUGGAGGUUCUGGUGUUAUGUGCAUGAACUGUUUGAUUCUUUCGACGGAAAUAAUGUAGUUUGACAAGUUACAAUACCAUCUAGUAAAGAAAAUUUGAGAUCCACUGAGUGCAAACGCAUAAGAGAGAGAAAGUCCCACAAGCCCUGCAGGUGAGUAGAAAAAAACAUUAAUGUUACAUUUAGUUUAGCGUUAAUUCUCUAGAAUCAGAAUAGAAUACAAUGGAUAAAAUUUUGAUUCUCUUCUCAAUUUUAUACCUAAUUCAAGCUCGCUUCAUUUACUACCUUUGACAAGUAGGAAAUGAAACUCAUCAUUCUAGAAUUUGACAGAAGAAAAGAGUUUGUUUAAUUAAGAACCACAUAUGGAAUUUGUAAUUAAAUUCUACAGUAGAUUAAUUAAGAUCUAGGGAUCGAAGGAAUACUGUAGUAGCGAGCUAGUCUUACCCGGAGGUACUAAGCCCCUAGGGAGUAGAACAAGGAGGAAAGUAACAGUACAUAGAGUCAGAUUCUGCAGUGUCUCUAUUCUCAAAACUUGCCACUCUAAGGCUGCAUUUGAAUGAAAGAAAAGCGAAGCAUCUGUGUCAACAAGCAUUAAAUAAUUUUUGAAGAAUCUCUCAACCAUGUCGAAAGCUCGGAUUGUAACCACUCCAAGUGACGUCUCAGCUGUGUAAUUCAUAACUGGAGCUUUUGUUGUUCCAUUGAUCCUCAUUAGCUCCCUUGCAGAGGCUAAAUAAUAGUCCUUUUAGCCAAAAGGAGUACCAUGAUCAGCUAUUUCCUUUUACUAGGAUGCAAUUAAACUAAAAACACGUCUAAGGGAAUACGUCUAAGGGAAGCACCUGAACAUAUUUUGUUGCUAUCAUAGCUGGAAUUGCUACAAUGAGAACUUGCCAUGUGACAGAGGCCAUAAUUCCAAUAGUUGUUACAAUCUCCAUGCCAGAAGCAGCCACAAAGAUAAUUGAGUAAGGUACAUCAAAGUCCACAACACUUAAAUCUGAUGAAGCCUACAAAUAGAAAUUGUGGAUUUUAAGUUCAAGACACUUGAAUAAUUGGCGGUUAUCAUAGAUUAGUUGUUUCUCUGAAUUAAUAAAUAAACUAUUUGAGCUUCCAAGCUGAUAGUAAUGUUCAAGAAGAGAAAUCUUACUCGGGUCAAGAUCCGCCCAACUGGGGUAGAGUCGAAGAAAAGCAUGGGAGCUUUAAAAAUUGCAUUGUUGAAGCUGGAAAAGAAAGUUUUGGAGGCUCUUAAUCCUAGAUGAGCAAUAAGAUUAGACUUGACAUAUGUGAAAAGGGCACCGAGCAUUGAAAUUGCAGAAUAAACACCAAUUAGCAUGGCGCUACUGAUUUUAGGAACUUCAAUGCCAAAAGCUAGCCAGUAAGUUGAAAGAGCCUGAAGAGCAACAAAAGCAGCUUGACCCAAUAAGCUGAAACAUAGAAGCAAUGAUCCUUUUGAUACAAUCAUAUAAUCAAUGAAGGCCUUCCAUCCACUAUCACCAGUCUCUUUUCCUUCUUCUUCUGUUAAUUGCACUCCUGGCAGACCUUUUAUUAAAAUAUCCCGGUUGCUGUUCUCUCUAACAGAGUUGCCAUCCUCUUGCUGAACAAUAUCUGUUUGUCGAUGUUCUUCUUCGCUUUCAAUUAUUACAGGAGAAUUUUUUACGGUUAUUGCAUCUUUGUGAGCAUUUACAAGCCCUUCAAAUGCAGUUCUAGCCAUCAACAGGUCUUGAUAGGUUCCUGCUUGAGUGAUUUCUCCUCCCUCCAUAACCUAUAAAAGACCAAUAUUGUUGCUUGAUUAAUUGAUGUGCAUACAGAAACGAAUUUGCAGUUGAAAUUAUAUAUUAAAACUUAAUGAUAAGAAAUUGCACGAGUGAACUAUUUAUAUAUUUGAAUAGAAUGCAUGUUAAUAUGUUGAGCUAAAUUCUUGUUACCAAAAUUCUGUCAACUUCUGUCAGAAACUCCACUUGAUGAGUCACUAGAAUGACAGUUUUCUUUUCUAGAGCAGUCAUGAUGUACUCCUGGAAUUGCAUUGAUCAACAUGAGUAAGGUGCUACAAGGAAUUUGAAACUCUUGCAUUUUAUGCUUUUGGAAGAAAUUUGGAUUUUAUUGGUCUUACCUUGAAUAGAGUGGCUGCUGUACGGGCAUCCACUGCACUGAAAGGAUCAUCAAGGAGAUAGAUAUCAGCAUCGUUAUAUAAAGCUCGAGCAAGUUGAAUCCUCUGCUUCUGUCCUCCACUCAAGUUAAGUCCUCUCUGACCUAUUUCCGUGAGAUCACCAUGGUCAAAACUGUCAAUAUCCUUUUCCAAAGCACAGGCUUUAAUUGCUCUUUCAUACUUUUCACCGUCCAUUGAUUUUCCAUACAAUAUGUUAUCACGAACUGUCCCACUUUGGAUCCAAGAAGUCUGGGAAACAUAAGCAAUGGAACCAAAUACAUUCACCUGUUUCAAGUACCAAAAGAUUGAGAUUAGUAACAUAAAGUAAUAAAACAUCAUGAAACUCCUGUUAAUUGUUUGAUUAACUUACAGUUCCUGAAACUUUAGGAAUCUCUCCGAGUAUAGCAUCCAAUAAUGAUGAUUUUCCUGCCCCAACUGAUCCGCAGACUGCAAUUUUCUGUCUCCAGUCUAUUUUUAAAUUUAUCUCUCUCAGAGUUGGAACCUUUACUUGUGGAUCCCAACUGAAGUUACCGGAUUUUAUGUUAAUGCUUGUAUCAGAUUUCUCAAGUUUGAUUCUCCUUAUUUCAUCAUUGCUUAGCUCAUCCUCAAGCAAAAAACCAUUUAUCCUAUCAAAAGAUACUUUUACUUGGAUAAGAUUAGAAAGAGCCUCGGGUAUCACUCUGAAAGGCUCUCCCAUGAUCCUCAAUGCAGCAAGAACUGAGAAGAUGGUGCUAGCAUUAAAUGGAGCACUCUUGAAGAGAACACAUCCUAAGAAGAUAAUUGCGGAUAUGACAGUUGGGGACAUCCAGUACACAACACCACCAUAAGCUCUUAUAAACUGUGCUUUAGUCAGCCACUUAAAUUCAUUAGCGCGUCGUAAUUCGAUCGACUUCUUGAAUUUUUCUUCCCAUGAUUGUAACUUAAUAAUUUUCAUACUGUUGAGGAUUUCAGAGGUUGCUCGAAGUCUUUCGUCUUGCGCUAUCAUGAGUUGGCAUUGACAGUUCUUUAAGAUCUUCGCAAAUGGCACAUUUAGGAGUCCACAGAUGAAGAUAGGGAGCAAACCAGGAACAGCACCAAGACCUACUACUCCAACAAGCACACCAAUAGAUAAGAAAAGCUGCAACGUGAAGCUCCAUAAUGAAUGGAACCACCAAAGGAAUUCUCCCAUUCGAUACGCAUCAACUGCAAUGUAGUUGACAAUCUCUCCAGUUGAGUGCCUUCUCCUCCCCAAGUUGGAAAGCUUGAGCUGCUUUUGAUACACUGCCACCAUUAAUGCAGAUCUCAUUCUCAUUCCUGACCUCCUUGAAUUGAAAAACCAAUGUCGCUGCGACAAUGACUCAACUAUUUUGCAAAGAAUUAGGCACCCCAAUAUAAAGAUACCUUCAUGUAAAUCUCCCUUAUCUCCAUUCGAACAGUUGACAAAAGCAUAGAGCAAAAGAGGAAGAACUACUACAGCAAUUGUUCUGAAGAAAGCACAUACUGCUAUCACUAUAUUCUCCUUCAAGUAAACUUUUCUUAUGGCCUGAAUGACCACGUUCCCAGUAUUGUCUGUUCUUUUGUUUCUCAAAAUUGAAUGCCACUCUCUAGCAAACUUUUGGUAAGCUACAUCAGCCACAUCUUCGCUAACUAGAGAAGGGAUAUCUUCGAGUCCUAAAGGUUUGGUGUAACCCAAAGAAAGCAAGGGAUUAAGCCAGGAAAAUGUCAAUUUGCUGAGAAAAUUAGCAUGGGAUAAUUUUGUGCUGUUGCUUGCAGUUUUUUCAACUAACAGAGGCUCAGAUAGACUACUGUUCUCCCUGAUAUGUUCAAAAGAAAAAUGACUGAAGCUUCUAAAAGCACAGAAGAGAAGCAGAAGGUUUACAGGCCAGGUUAGCAUGUCAAAAACUUGAAUGCUACGUGUUCUUAACAAAAUUUCAAUGUUGAGGGCUGUAACCAACAAAGAAAAUGACACCCACCAUAUAGAUACAAGAAUUUUGAUCCAUUUGGAUCUUUUGACUAGCAGGGAGAUUACAAUAGAGAUCCAAACUAGUCCUCUGAAAAAGUAUAUUGCCCAGGCCAAAUUAUUGAACCCUCCAUGACCAUGUAACAGCAGUUCCCAUAAACCUAUACCAGUAUAAGCAAUACCUGUAAAGACACAACAGAUUGCAGCACCGACAAAUGCCCAGUUCCUUGUAUUAUUGCUUCCGAUACUUUCAUGUUCUGUGACACAACCUACAAGCAAGAGCAGAUAGAAGAUGGAAAGGAACAGCAGGUUUGCAAUGUCUAUGAUUGUUCUUUGUGUACAAUAAGAACCCAAAUUGACUUCUCCCUCACAAAUCCAAGAGAAAACUCCUGCAUAUCCAUGAAAACCAGAUUUCAUCAGAUUCAUCCUGAUUUCUACUUUCAUCCACAUGUAUUAAAACUUUCUAGUGAAGCUUCACUUAAUGGUACGCAUGAAUGUCUGUAUAUUCUGUUUAGCCUAACAGACUGAAGAAACUGAAGUAUAUUUAAGCUUAGUUUUGUCAGAUGGUGAUUCUUACAACUUGAUUUAAAACUUGUAUUUCUCCCUUUUGUUAGGAUCAAUCACCAUUCUGGAGCUAAAGACAAAAAGAAGAAAAAGAAACAAGAAGAAGAAGAAGAAGAACAUCUUCAUGCAGAAAAGUCUUAUACUCAUGCAAUCACAUAAAUAAGAGCUUU
rnacentral:lncRNA from 1 species